GUCUACCGCCAUGCCACCUGAACAAACCCGAUGUCUGAUCUCGGAAGCUAAGCAGGGUCGAGCCUGGUUAGUACUUGGAUGGGAGACCACCUAGGAAAACCAGAUGCUGUAGGCC
rnacentral:rRNA from 1 species